AGACCCGAAACCCGGUGAUCUAGCCAUGGGCAGGUUGAAGGUUGGGUAACACUAACUGGAGGACCGAACCGACUAAUGUUGAAAAAUUAGCGGAUGACCUGUGGCUGGGGGUGAAAGGCCAAUCAAACCGGGAGAUAGCUGGUUCUCCCCGAAAGCUAUUUAGGUAGCGCCUCGUGAAUUCAUCUCCGGGGGUAGAGCACUGUUUCGGCUAGGGGGCCAUCCCGGCUUACCAACCCGAUGCAAACUGCGAAUACCGGAGAAUGUUAUCACGGGAGACACACGGCGGGUGCUAACGUCCGUCGUGAAGAGGGAAACAACCCAGACCGCCAGCUAAGGUCCCAAAGUCAUGGUUAAGUGGGAAACGAUGUGGGAAGGCCCAGACAGCCAGGAUGUUGGCUUAGAAGCAGCCAUCAUUUAAAGAAAGCGUAAUAGCUCACUGGUCGAGUCGGCCUGCGCGGAAGAUGUAACGGGGCUAAACCAUGCACCGAAGCUGCGGCAGCGAACGUAUCACUUAAAGCGAUUCAGCGGGUUACGAUUGACGGAGCGAAGCGACGUCAAAGCGUAUACAAAGUCGAGUCGGUUUAAGGAUACGUUCGUUGGGUAGGGGAGCGUUCUGUAAGCCUGUGAAGGUGGCCUGUGAGGGUUGCUGGAGGUAUCAGAAGUGCGAAUGCUGACAUAAGUAACGAUAAAGCGGGUGAAAAGCCCGCUCGCCGGAAGACCAAGGGUUCCUGUCCAACGUUAAUCGGGGCAGGGUGAGUCGACCCCUAAGGCGAGGCCGAAAGGCGUAGUCGAUGGGAAACGGGUUAAUAUUCCCGUACUUGGUGUUACUGCGAAGGGGGGACGGAGAAGGCUAUGUUGGCCGGGCGACGGUUGUCCCGGUUUAAGCGUGUAGGCUGGUUUUCCAGGCAAAUCCGGAAAAUCAAGGCUGAGGCGUGACGACGAGGCACUACGGUGCUGAAGCAACAAAUGCCCUGCUUCCAGGAAAAGCCUCUAAGCAUCAGGUAACAUCAAAUCGUACCCCAAACCGACACAGGUGGUCAGGUAGAGAAUACCAAGGCGCUUGAGAGAACUCGGGUGAAGGAACUAGGCAAAAUGGUGCCGUAACUUCGGGAGAAGGCACGCUGACAUGUAGGUGAAGUGAUUUACUCAUGGAGCUGAAGUCAGUCGAAGAUACCAGCUGGCUGCAACUGUUUAUUAAAAACACAGCACUGUGCAAACACGAAAGUGGACGUAUACGGUGUGACGCCUGCCCGGUGCCGGAAGGUUAAUUGAUGGGGUCAGCGCAAGCGAAGCUCCUGAUCGAAGCCCCGGUAAACGGCGGCCGUAACUAUAACGGUCCUAAGGUAGCGAAAUUCCUUGUCGGGUAAGUUCCGACCUGCACGAAUGGCGUAAUGAUGGCCAGGCUGUCUCCACCCGAGACUCAGUGAAAUUGAACUCGCUGUGAAGAUGCAGUGUACCCGCGGCAAGACGGAAAGACCCCGUGAACCUUUACUAUAGCUUGACACUGAACAUUGAGCCUUGAUGUGUAG
rnacentral:rRNA from 1 species